rnacentral:tRNA from 1 species
GGUAAGAUAUUUUAACUGUAAAAUUUAUGUCUGUAAAACAUGAGAAGCCGGAAACUUGGCUCUUACCU